rnacentral:rRNA from 1 species
UAACGCGUGGGUAACCUGCCUUAUACAGGGGGAGUAACAAGUCAGAAAUGGCUGCUAAUACCGCAUAAGCGCACAGAGCUGCAUGGCUCAGUGUGAAAAACUACCGGUGGUGUGAGAUGGACCCGCGUUUGAUUAGCUGGUUGGUGGGGUAACGGCCUACCAAGGCGACGAUCAAUAGCCGACCUGAGAGGGUGACCGGCCACAUUGGGACUGAGACACGGCCCAAACUCCUACGGGAGGCAGCAUG